AAGGGCAUAAUUUAAGUUUUACCAUAUCCAAAAGAGCAAUGGUGACAAGUAGACAAAAACUGAAGUGUGUGAAUUCAUUCCGGAACUUCCAAACUUUGACGCGGAAGAUCCGGAGGCCAAAAAAAAAAAAAAAACCACGGCAAUCGUCGCAAAGAUGCAAUCUUUUUCAUCAUUUUCACUCCACUCUCUCCUCAUUCUAUUAACCAUUUUGAGGAAAUUAACGAUUUUCCUCUCAACUUUUUCAUUUUCACUUUGCCUAUGAAAAUGAAAAUUUGAAGUUUUUGGCUUGCUCAUGUUGCUGUCGAACUCAUUCCUGGUCUUUUGAAAAUCUCUUCUUCCGAAGACGGGUUUUUUUCUGCACCGUCAAUCUUGAGUGCUGAACGGCCGCUCUAUUGGAAGUAACAAACCCAACGCUCUCGCCCACUCAUCUUCAGGAUUAGUCCUUGCUUUUUUCCUUAUAACAGAGAAAUUUUGAUACAAAUUUUGAACUUUGUAGUAGGACGAGUGUUUAAUUGGAUUGUAUCCGUGGUGGCACUGCCUAUAGAUGGAGUAGGCAAUAGCUUAAAC
rnacentral:lncRNA from 1 species